CAAUGUAGCUCAGGGGUAGAGCACUUCCUUGGUAAGGAAGAGGUCAUGGGUUCAAUUCCCAUCAUUG
rnacentral:tRNA from 1 species